GGAGUUUGUUUUGGCCGUCGUCGUCGCGUCGCCGUCCUAAAAUCGUAAGGUCUCUAUUAGUGAGCUGAAGCAAGAGACGUUCUUGUCAUGACGGACGUCGCCCGAGAAUUGCUAGAACUAAUUUUGGCGGCAUUUUCCACCAUGGCGCUCGUGCAAAGAAGCAAGAAACUUUAAAUACAAACACAGUUUUUAAUUCCGUCUCCC